AAAAAGUCUUCGAGCAUGUGAUGUAGUUCAAAAGGCACUGAUAUAGUGUUUGUGGACAGCAUCACAUUCUUAGUUAUGGUAGUGCUUGAACCAUAAAUAUGCCCAAGUUACUCUUUCCUUGCACUUGAAAGAGUGUUUUGUUUUGGGGAUUUGUGUUUGGUUGCUCGUAGUCCUGUUUGAAUAUCCAAGUAAAUAGACAAUAGAUACCAUGCAAGCUCGCCUUACUCGUAGGCACAGUGCAUGCUGAACAAGAGGCAAUUUCUAUGGAUCCUAAAGAGGUAAUAAAUUCAGAAGUACACACACUAACAAACACCACCUCCAAAUUGCAAAAUAUUUUAACCCUUCACCUUCUCACUUCCUAUAGAAUAACACCAUACCAGGCCCUUUCCCUUCUUUUUCCUCUGCACUUAACGGGAGAAUAACUUUCUCUACUCUAGCGAAAUCUCGAAGAGCAGCACAAUGAUGAGCAAUUUCGAAUAAGAGGAGUUAGAGAAGAGAGAGAAAAAAUUCUUUGCAUUGCACUCGAGGAUUCAGCUUUGAUUUCUGUUUAUUUUCGUGUUUAGCUAAGGUGAAAUCACCUUCCAUAAGGGUCCACUCAUCAUUUUCCCUAACCUCUUAUAUCAUCUAAUUAUUACUUAAAUUGGUCAUCAAGUUCCUUUUAUGUUAAACUGCAGUGAGUUUGAGGAACUGGAAGCUGUUACUCCUGCUCUUACUUCAGUGCUUCAACCAGUGCUUCCCCAGUGCUUCAACCUUUUCCACCGCCAACCCCUCCACCAUCUCUUACUGCUGCUCUUACUUCAAACAGCAGACCAUUUAUCAGCAAGGAGAAAGUUCGAGAGACACUUCUGGUGCUUGUUCAGGUUAGGAUUUCUGGUUAUGCAAAUGCUCGAAGCUAUAAUUGCGUCUGACAUGUUCAUGUUUACUGUUGUUAAGAUUAGGGGAACUUUAUCAUGCAGCUGGUAUAAUCUUCUUAAUUGCAUAUUGACAGCAGACUUAAAGCUAGCAUAUUUGUAUUGUCAGAAAUACUCUUUGGAUUUCUUAUGUACAAAAAUGCAUUCAUGGCACGCAUUUAAUCAACUAUUUUAAGUGACUGAAUUACUGUUUACUUUUUGAUGAUAUCUAAAUUGACAUGUAAAUAAAUUUAUGUUCAUCAGUGGAUUGAACUAUUUUUCACUUAUCCCAGUCUUCAAAAUCAUUAACCCCGCACCACUUUGCCAUGCUUAGAGUGCAAACACUAAUGCGAAACACUUAUUUUUUGUGAUGCAUUUUCAAUUAUUAUUUUUUUCCUUGUAUAUCUGACCAGUUUUUAUAUGUAAUAGGACAAUCAAUUCUUAGACAUGGUCUAUCGAGCAUUGCUGAAUGACCAGCUGAAAGUGAUACCAAUAUGUAGCUGCUAGAUUUUUUCUACCAUGUAGCUUUCUGCAAGUGUAAUAAAACCCAGUUUGUAUAGUGUUUCAACUCAAGUCAGUAUUUUUUAUGGAAAAAUUAUUGGUAUAUAAUUAUUCUUGUUUCUUUUUGUUAGAGAUGAUGAAAAACACUUGCAGGAUUUAAAUGUCAUUUUUGGGUUUGAGCUUAUUAUAAGUUACAGGCUUCGAAAGUGUGUUCAUUUAUAUCCACAAUUUAGUUAUGCUGGUUAACCAAAGUGAGCUGGGAUAGUUUUUGGAUUCAUGACAUGAAUAAAAUAGGAUUAUUUUGGGCACGGCUUGGUGCGUUAGGUGUGUUUAUUGUGAGGAAGAGGGCAAAAAGGAAAAAACAAUUGUGGGUUGUGAAAUUUCUUAAAUGAACCUUCUCUGAUUGUUCUUGUAUAGAGCUGGGUUACCAUCAGAAAUGAAGGAGGAAAUGAAUCGAUUACUGUAACUCCCAAGGCGAUAAUUGCUACCUAAAUCCCCACUAGGAUAUAACAAGAGUUGCAAAUCUGAUAGUUAUUCCAAGUCCUAGUUAUCCUCCAUAAGUUGAGCUACCCAUUACUCUCACCCUGGACUAUAAUGUUUUUUAUUUUAAGUUUGUCCCAGUUUACUUAAAGUGAAGUCUCGUCGCCUGCAUUUUACUUUCAUCUGGACCUGAAAUCUCAACCGUCAAGUUUAAUAGAGAAUUUACACACACUCCAGAGCCCAGAGGGCGUAAGUUAAUCUUCAUUCAGAUCGUGUAAAAGAGAGACCUUUUGCCUGUUAUGAUGUGUAGAAGUAGAGCCCCAAAUCUGUUAGCUUUGGCCGCCAUCUAAAGAAAUUCCUACUGCGAAUGGUUAAAAAUUUCAUUUACUGUAUGUAUACAACCUAAUAGUAGCAAUGAAAUUACUAAGUUGUUCUUGGACAAUUUGCAUCAAAUACUUUUAUUGAGUUGCUAUUCCAUGCAUGCAAAAGAAAAUUCUUUAAAAAUUACAUAUAAGUUGUAAUGUAAGGAAAUUACAUCCAUCCACGAUAAAAUCUUCUAGGAACAAGAUUGUCUGCUACAAAAUAAUAACAAGAGGUCAUACACACUUCAACAAGGUAAAACCAUCUUCGCCGCCAGUAAGGGUUUAUGUACAAAACUCCAAUAAUUCCUAUUAUCACAAUUCCAUAAGAUACUGUAAAAGUGAUCAAGAAACUGUCCGUGUCAAUUAAACUAUCACCUUGAUUUUCGGUGGAAGCUUCUGGUGUCACUGUUGUCAAUCCAUUAUGAUUGCAACUUUUGGACAGUGGCUUUCCACAAAGAAAAGGAUUCCCCUCAUAGCUAUCUUCCUCGAAAGUUGAAAAUUGUGCUCUAUCUGGAAUUUUGCCUGAUAAGUUAUUGUAUGCUACUUUGAAAACCUCCAAUGUAUUUAGCACAAUGAGUUGAGGAGGGAUUUUCCCAUGCAGUAGGUUGUAGGAGAGGUCCAAGCUUUCAAUUUGCUUCAGGUUUGAAAAUGUUGUCGGGAUUGUGCCCGUCAAAUUGUUAUGAGAUAGAUUUAGCGCAUGAAUCCCAGAAAGAUAUCCAAUUUGAGUAGGAAUCUCACCUGUCAGUUUGUUACAAGAAAGAUCAAUCCCAGACAUACUCGUCAAAAUUCUUCCUUGAUAAUAGUAGGACAUAUUCUUUGUUGUGAACUGUACAGUUUCUUCCUUUCCCAUCGGAGGUGCACUUCGACUAGGCAGACAUGCAGAUAUAUAGACAGACGCUCGACCACACCAAAUAGAAGUUGGAGCUACUGCCUCAUGAUGACCUCCACUGAGUGCAGUGUUAACCAAGCAAGAAGGAAUAUGACCAGAUAGAUUAUUAUGAGAAAGAUCAAUCAACCGCACUUCCUUCAACUGGCAUAAUUGAACUGGUAUUUCGCCUUUAAUAUAAUUAUGAGCUAAAAGAAGGUAGUUUAACUGAGGUAGUCUGUCAAUCCGAUUUGGAAUACUUCCGUGUAAGCGGUUAUAACUAAGAUCUAAUGUCACCAAAUAAGGGCUGUCAUGGAUUAUACUUUCCAACCGUCCUUCUAUCUUGUUUUUUGACAAAUGAACUUGUUCGAUAUGUGCUGGACUAAAACAAGAUGGUAACGUUCCAAAAAUAGAAUUGUUUGAAAGGUCUAAAAUCUUCAGAGCACUAAGCUGACAAAACUCGAUUGGAAUUGGUCCUUCAAGAUUGUUAUUGGGCAUUCUAAUACCUUCUAAAGCUGACAAAUUACCCAACCAUCUUGGAAUCUCACCAGAGAGAUGAUUAUCACUCAGAUACAAUCCUCCCAACAAAUAACACUUAGAUAAGCUUUCUGGGAUCUCUCCAAUGAAUUUAUUACCAUCCAACUGCAACCUCAUCAAAUUUGUCAAGUUAAAUUUUUUAGAGAAUAUAUGACCUUGCAAACUGUUGUUUGACAAUGCAAGAAUUUUUAAUGAGAAGCAACCGGUGGCCAUGCGCUCAGGGAUUUCACCAGUCAACUGAUUGUCAGAUAUGUCCAACCUUUCCAACAUUUUCAUAUCAGCAAAUGAAGAGGGAAUGCUACCGUUGAAAGCGUUUCUAGAUAAGUUUAAAUCCAUUAAACCUGGCAGAUAUGUUCCGAUUUCUACCGGAAUAUGGCCGUGAAAGAAAUUGUUGGAGACAUCCAAAGUUGCUAAAUUCUGGUGGGAAUGAAUUGGCAUUCGAAAUGAUCCAAAAAGAGAGUUAUUGGCAAGAAGAAGCAUCACUAAGUUUGUAUUGUUUUCUAGCAACCAAUUUGGAAAUUGUCCACUCAAGUUAAGGUGUGAGAGAUCAGCAUUCUUCAAGUCAUGCUGAUGGUACAUGCUGAUGGUACAGAAAUAGGGAUUUGGAAGAAGUGAUUAUUUGAAAGUAUGAGCUUUUCAAUAGAUAUUAGAUGCAUGAUGGGAGAUGAGGAGAUGUUUUCAGUAAGUUGAUUGUAAGAGACAUCUAAUACUCGAAGGGAAGUCAAAUUUGCCAAGCACCAUGGCAAGCUACCUCUCAAAUCAUUACUGCUGAUGUAUAACUCUUGCAGAUGCACUAACCGACAAAGUCCUGAAAAAUAUAAUUGCAUAAAACUUAAAUAAUUGCAUAAAAUCUUUAAAGUACAUAUUAAAAAUUAAGUUUGAUCACUGAUAGUUGAACAGUAGAAUCUGACGUAAUGGCAACAAAACAAUUGUAAAAUUAUACGGCGUUAUAGUGUUAAGUAAAAAAUUAGCAUUAUUUUUCAAUCAACACUACAACAGCACACUAUUUUACAGUAGUUCAUUAUUAUGGCUCCCUAUCAUCUUUCACUAAGUUUAUAAAUAGCUAGCAUUUUAGGUAUUCUCAAUUAAAUUUAGUUAAGAUGCGCGAGAGGGAGAAAGAGAAUCAUUAAUUAACCUUGAUCAAGAAUGGUGUUUUUAUUAAGACUUGAAUAUGUCAGUGAUAAAAACUUCAGAGAAGGCAUCGAUUCGCCGACAAUUUGAAGAAAACUGGUGUUGACGUCAACCUGCACCUCACCCAUGUCCAGAUUUUCCAAAUUCUUGAAUUUACGAAAAUCUGCAAGCAAUAAACAAGAAAUGGUCAUAAUUUCACAUAAUGCAAGGGAAUAAGGAUAAUCCGGUCCUGUUCUUUUCUUUUUUUUGGGUUAAUUUACUUAUUUUUCUUUACUCUUCUAAGCGAUCGAAAUAUGCUUAACAUAACAGAACUAAAAUUUCAUUAACCUUAAUCAAGAAUCCUACAAUUUAGAGAAGGUAGAACUAUUGGAUAGUGAAAAUAUAUAAAAUUUAAAAGAAAAAAUAUUAUUUUACGGGAGAAAAUUAACUUGAAAAGAAAGAAUCAUUAUCGAAUUAAUAUCACAAAAGCUUCAGAUACCCGUAAUUUACCUUGACCAUGCAGGGCACCCUUGAGUACACUAUCUUGCAUUGACAAAUACUUUAACGAAGUGAAUGAUGCGAUGCUUUGCAGAAGCUGGCUUACGUGGAGAUCAGACUCGUCCAAUAUCAAUUCUUCCAAGUUGGUCAAAUUGUGCAAUUCUAUUUACAAAGAAGUGGAAGCAACAAAUUUUAGCUAUAUAUAUUAAUUCAAUUAUUUUCGACAUAAAAGAUUUACUUACCUUGAUUAAUUACUGUUCCCGUAAAAUUAGUAUACGAAAGGUAAAGUGUUUUGAGGGACGGUAGUGAUCCUAUUGAUUGCAACGCCUUACUUCCAUCUAUCAUUGCAACUUCCGUUCCCCCUAAGACAAGGGUAUUCAACUUCCUCAAGCCUCUGUAAUCUGUUUGGGAUACAAUUUCGGAUUAAAUUAUUUUGGAUAAGUGUCAUUGGGCAUUCCCUAAUCAAAUCAAUUAAAUUGUCCUCCAAAUUAUUAAUAUUUGAACAUUUUGUAUACCUUUAGGAACCACUAGAUUGUCGAUUGCAUUGGCGCUCAUGUCCAGCUCCUCCAAGUUACUCAAGGAAUUCAGUCCUGCAUUUUUGCCAACACUUAAAACAGGGUUAAUUAAAUAACUUAUUUUCUUCUUCUUUGUUUUAAAUCUCGGCGCAAAAGAAUUUUAUUAAUAAGCAAAAAAGUACACGGCUAAUCCGAAAAACCUAAAAAGUAGUUGCCAAGGGCCUGACCGAUGAUUUUAAGUAGGUAUAUUUGUCUGACAACGGCGAAUUUAAAUUUGUAAGGAAUAAAAAUUUAUUUCAACUUUACCUAUUGCUAUACCUUAUUCUUGUUUCAAAAAAUUUACUUAAUUAAUUAAGUAAAUACAAGUUGGUUUAUGGAAGCCAAUAUCUGAUCCCUUCACACUAACCAAAAUACUAAAUUCAGCGCACAAAUUUAUAUAUAGGCAGAUAAAUAAGAUGCAUGUUAUUAUGGCUUACCUUGAACAUCAAAACUUUUUUUUUUUUUUGAAUCUAAUCCACUCUCAGGAUAUAAACUCGUUAACAAAGAAAGAGCAUUAGAAAAAUCAAAAAACUACAAUGUCGAUUUCCGUUUAGUGUACAAUUCUUUACUUUUGAAGACAGGACAUACGAAAUAAUUAGAUUGAAUUGUGUCUGAUUAUGAGAAGCAUUGAAAAUUGCGUAUAUUGAUAAUUUCUUAAUCCUAUUUUUAUAAUAUUCACAGCCUCGAAGCUUAAACUAGCAAGAGUCUAGCUAGAUCUCGUAUCAAUACUUCCAGCUGGUCGAUGAAAUAAGAUCCACAAAGAUGGGACACGGGAGAAGGGAUGAAGCUUGCUUACCUUUAAUAUCAAUACUUCCAUUCAAUCGAUUAGCAGCCAAUAAUAAGUGUCUGAGUGAUGAAAGACCACCUAGAGAUGAAAAGAUGCUGUUGUUGAAGUAGUUAAAGCCUAAAUGAAGAAACUUCAAGUUGUUCAACCUUGAUAACCUAUCUAGACCUGCCAAAAAAUAAAAAAUAAAACCUAAUUUAAUUGUAUCACGUACAAAUUAAACAAAAGCCAAAAGGGAUCAGAUAAAUGCUAGAAAUUACGAGGGAGAAUUAGAGUAGAGUAAAUUGAGGACCUUCAUUUUCAACACAACCGGCUAUAUUGUUCCCAGUUAAAUCAAGAGAUUCUAAUUGUUGAAAUUGAGAAAACAGAUAAGCAUUCAUAUGCCACUCCGCUGAUUCCCAAUUCCUAAAUUGAAGAUCUAAUUUAAUCACUCUGCCAGUGGUGUUGUUGCACUCAACCCCUUCCCACUGACAACAAUCUGAAAAAUUCUCAUCAUCUCCCGCGUCUACCCAGUUUUGAAGACGUUGAUCAUCAUUGAAGAAAUGUUUUGAGUUUGAGGAGAGCAGACCUCUAGACUUUAACGAUUACUUUGCAUGAGUCCUUGAAUAUUGACCAACGAAUUUCUUUAUUGAUUGCAACGAUAAGUGUCAUUGGGCAUUCCCUAAUCAAAUCAAUUAAAUUGUCCUCCAAAUUAUUAAUAUUUGAACAUUUUGUAUACCUUUAGGAACCACUAAAUUGUCGAUUGCAUUGUCGCUCAUGUCCAGCUCCUCCAAAUUACUCAAGGAUUCCAGUCCUGUAUUUAUUCCAACACUUAAAACAGAGUUAAUUAAAUAACUUAUUUUCUCAUUUUUUUAUGUUAAAUCUCAGCGAAAAGAAUUUUAUUAAUAAGAAAAGAAUAUGGCUAAUCCGAAAAAUUUAAAGCAGCUCUCAAAGGGUUCGACUGAGUGGCUUUAAGCAAGUAUAUUUAGCUGACAACCAUGAAUUUAAAUUUGUAAGGAAUUAAAAUUUAUUUUAGCUUUACCUACUGCUAUAUCUUUUUCUUUUUUCUUAAAAAAAUUAAAAUAGAUUAAACACGAAAUUUUAAUUUGUUAAAUAUUAAAUGUCGUUAAUUAAUUAAUUAACUAAAUACAAGUUGGUCUAUGGAGGCCAAUAUCUGAUCCCUUCACAAUAACCAAAAUAUUAAAUUCAGUGCACAAAUUUAGAUACAUGCAGACAAAUAAGAUGCAGGUUAUUAUGGCCUACCUUGAACAUCAAAAUUUUUUUUUUUCAAUCCAAUCCCUCUUAGGAUAUAAACUCGUUAACGAAAAAAGAGCAUUAGAAAAAAUAAAAAGCUACGAUGUCGAUUUCCAUUUAGUGUACAAUUCUUUACUUUUGAAGACAGGACAUACAAAAUAAUUAGAUUGAAUUGUGUCUGAUUAUGAGAAGCAUUGAAAAUUGCAUAUAUUGAUAAUUUCUUAAACCUAUUUUUAUAAUAUUUAAAUCCUUGAAGCUUAAACUAGCAAGAGUUUAGCCAAAUCUUAUAUCAAUACUUCCAGCCGGUCAAUGAAAUAAGAUCCCCAAAAGAUGGGACACGGGAGAAGGGAUGAAGCUUACUUACCUUCAAUAUCAAUACUUCCAUUCAAUUCAUUAAUACCCAUUGAUAAGUGUUUGAGUGAUGAAAGACCACCUAGAGAUGAAAAGAUGCUGUUGUUGAAGUGGUUAAGGGUUAAAUCAAGAAACUUCAAGUUCUUCAAACUUGAUAACCUAUCUAGACCUGUCAAAAAAUAAAAAGUAAAAAAUAAAAAAUAAAACAUAAUUUUAUUGUAUCACGUACAAAUUAAACAAAAGCCAAAAGGGAUUAGAUAAAUGUAAGAAAAUACGAAGGAGAAUUAAAAUAGAGUAAAUUAAGGACCUUCAUUUUGAACACAACCGGCUAUAUUGUUCCCCAUUAGAUCAAGAGACUUUAAUUGUUGAAAGGGAGUAAACAGAGAGGCAUUCAUAUACCACUCUGCUGAUUCCCAUUUUCGAAAUGCUAGAUCUAAUCUAAUCACUCUGCCAGUGGUGUUGUUGCACUCAACCCCUUCCCACUGACAACAAUCUGAAUAAUUCUCAUCAUCUCCGGUGUCAACCCAGUUUUGAAGACGGUGAUCAUCAUUGAAGAAAUGUUUGAGUUGGAGGAGAGCAGACCUCUCUUGCUCCAAACACCCCUCACUCCACCACCCUUUUACUACUAAUAAUAUGAAAAUUAACUCACUCACCCACACUCUUUUUGAACCACACAUUAUAUCUUCUUAAUUACAAUCACCUACACACACUCUUUUCUCUUCUGCAACAACGAGAGGAUAGUUCUACGCUAUUUAUAACCAAUUGCACUGAUGAUACUCCCAGCUUUUAAUUGACUUUGUCUAAGUCUUGCAUGCGUUUUUCUUCAUUUCUUUUUAUUUUUUCUGUUAAUAUAUAAUAUGAUUGUAAUAUAUUUUUAUUUAAUUCAGUCAACUGAAAAUAUUUCCUCUCCGUCCAUAAAUAUCUGCACAGCCUGGAUUCUGACGGAAUCUUGGGCAACGCGGGUACCCAAACUUCACUAGACAAGCUUAUGGGCUAGCUCAAAACUUGGAUUUUUAUGAAGAAUAUUAUAAAAUAUCUAUUAUUUUGUUCAUUUGGUCCACUUAUUAUCUAUUUUUAAAAUUUUAAACAUUUAAAACUCAUAUUUUUAAUUCCAAUUUCAUUAAAAUAAAAUUUGAAAAUAUAAAAUUAUAAAAUAAAUUAAAUAUAUAUAAUAUUAUAAAAUAUAAAUUCUAGGUUUUUUAAGUUUUGAUUAAAAAAGUCCGAGUGUUCAAAAAAACAUGCUUAGGCCAGAUCUGGGUAAUACCAUACCUAAGAACGGUCGGAGUUUUUUUCCAUCCCUACCAUCCUUACACACUAAUAAUUGGCUGAAUUUAAUCAAACUCUCGAUUUGCUUUCACAUUAUCUUGGGUUUGAAACUUCACAGGUACCUAUAUAUCCCUUGAAUGAGAGUAGAUUUUCACCUAAAUUUGAAUGCAAACAUGUGCGACACGUCCUGGUCUAGGGAGAAUGAAUAGGAUGUCUUCAUAGGGCCAUAACUUGAGUAAUUGGUAUUUGUCUUAGGCUCAUAAUAUAUCAUUAUGAAGUUCUCCAAGAAAGGAGAGUGAGUCAAAGUUACAUUUUCAAUAUGGGUUGGCAGAUCGUCGCCAAAUUUCUCUUGGACGCUUCUAUUUUUGCCUGAAGAUAUCUUUCUUAUUUUUGAUAUUCUUGUUGGAUUUUUAUCUAUUUUUGUCAAUAUUUGAUUUAAGUGUCAUAUAUUUUUAAUUUGUUUUGGCAACUUAAAUUUUUAUUAUGCCAUGCCAAUUCAAAUUUACUUAUUUUGAUAAAUUGAUGUACUUUAGGAUUUAGUAUAAAAGGCUGUUAAAAUCCUAGUUUGUUAUUUAUACUCGUAAAAACAUAUUUUUAGAUUAGGAGACUUGUGAUCACUACUCAAAUACUAAAAAACCCCUAUAACUAAUUAAAUAAUAAGAAUACGGAAGUUAAAAUAAAAGGAUUUUUAAAUCUGUCCUAGAUGACACGACAAGUGACUAUUUAUGAUGUUACCCAAAAAAUUAAAAAUAAAUGCUAAUCUCACCGAACCUCUAGACUUUAACGAUCACUUUGGAUGAGUUCUUGAGUAUUGAGCAACCAAUUUCUCUUCUCCAUUUAUUUAUUUCACUAUAUUUCACACAUCACCCUGAUUACAAUUUUAUUUUAUUUUAUUCUUCCAAUUCAGUCAACAAGAAAAUAACAUGUAAUUUAACAAACCCUUUACCAAGUCUCGGUCUUAUGCUGAUCCCUGUAAUAGCGCUUGUAUUUGUUAUAUCAACAUUAUUUGUUGUCACGAAGAGGGUGAAGGGUCUUCUUUCUUUCUUGGAAGUUCAUGAAGGAAAUCAAAUUUUCUUUUCUUAAUUUCUUGCAUUUGGAACACAAAUAAUCUAAGCGUUUUCUAUGCAUACACAUGUUUUACACGUUAGUUGAUUUGAAUUGACCCCAAAUCGCGAAACAUUGGUCCUUAAUCCUCUCUCUCUCUCUCUCUCUCUCUAAUUACUAAAUAAGUGAAAUUAUCAUUGAAAAUUUUAAGCAACAAACCAGCAAUUUUACAUUAAAAAAAAAAAAAUUGAUAGUAAAGAAUGACCUGGUCAAUCUUUAUCCACUAUGGUAGUUUUCAACAGCUUUACAAAAUAAGUGGAAGCCAAUUAUUUCAAUUAAAAGUCAUGGAUGUUAAGACCGAAAAAAAAAAAUUAAAAGUCAUGGAUAACGACAAAAUUACCUAAAACAAAGGACACAUUGCAUUAAAUUUCUAAUAGUACUCAACUAUUAACCUUUUUACAACGACACAGUAAAAGACCACCGCCGAGGUUAUAUUUUCCGGCGUUUUGUUUUACGAUGGGACAAUUCGUAUUCUAGAAAAUAAUCUGAACACUCAUAAUCUAAUAAAAUUUACAAUGAUGCUACACAUUCUAAAUUUUUUAUCCCAAAAAGUUAUCCCAAAUGAUAUGGCAUUUAUCAAUUGGUUGGUGAGAUAAUAUAAUUAAUUCACUUGGAUCUUGUAAAGAAUUAUCAACCAAUUGAUAAAUGACACAUCAUUUGGAAUAACUUUUUGGGAUAAAAAAAUUGGGAUGUGUAGCAUUAUUGUAAAAUUUAUUCUACGCUGAUAAAUUAUUGGUUAUGCAAUUUACCGAUUAUAGACAAUUGACUUAAUAGAUUUAAUAUCUUUUUACGUAUGUUCUUUGGUCAAAAAAGAAAAUCUGAUUCUAUCUCCCGUAAUUUUUUUAAAAAUUUUUUUCUAACAUUUUCUCAUCCUCGAUUUCACAGGUAAAUUUCUAUGCUAACAAACUGUUAUUUUAAAAAAAAAAGUCAGACAAACAAAUAAAUAAUUAGGUUGCUGUUUAUCUUAAAGGAUAAAUAACAAGAAUUGGGACUCCAUGUCCUUGAGCAAAUUCAGCGAGUGAGGAAAAAAAAAAAUAAAGUUUUGAAUAAUUUUUGCGUAAACAAAGUUUAGUCAUAAGCAUGCAUGAAUGUAAUCACUAGGGCUACUAUGGGUGUUGCGGGGUGUUGACUUUUGAAGAAAGAGAGCUUUAACAAAAGAAACUAAUUUCUGUGCAAUUUUGGGACUUUGAUGAGUGUGCAGAGUAGAAAUUUAAUUUUCAAAUUCAACGUCGGAAUUUCUGAACUCUUUUGAGUAAAUGAUUGUGCAAGGUAUUAUUUAUACUUCAGCAUAAAUUUUAUUUUAUUUAACUUUGAAAAAUUAGGGAAAAUAAUUUGGUUACAAUCUUUAGAAUUAGAUAGAACCUCCCUCAAGUAUCGUGUCCAAAAACUUAUUCUUAUAAUAACAUUAUGUAUUUGUCCUGUUAACAUAAUUUUGUCACCGUCCAGAAAGAGACGAAAGGCACUCUCUUUCAUGGAAAUUCAUGAACGCAUGAAAGCAAAUCAAACCGUUUUAAUUGCUUGGAAGUUAGGUAUGUAAUGUCUGCUCAUGUUUUAUAAUUAUAAUUGACUUUGAAUCAAGAAAUGGCCUCUUUUCUCUUUUAUUUCAAUGACCAGUUAAAUAAAUUAUUUUUAAAAAAAAAACAACAGAGAAAAUUGAAAGCAAGAAAAAAUUAAGUAAACGACAAACUAAACUGAAAUGCCAGUAAUCAAAUGCAAAGAAGACCCCAUUCAAAAAAAAUAAAAUGCAAAGAAGACCUGCUUCGUCUUUGAUUAUAAUUUAUAAUGAUUAUCAUUCAAUGUGCUUUUCAAGAGCUAUUGAAUACAACUUUAAUUGUUCAAUUCAAAGUUAUGCAUAUUGUUGAUGCCGAAAUCCGAACGAGUUGGUUAGUGACUCAAUUUUAGAUCCCUGCAUCAGCAUUAAAUUUGUUUGGUGGGAAGCUGCUGGUUGAUCUCCAGGAAUAUUCUCUGACUAUGAGCAGAACAUUCAUGAGCAUAUAAUCUUCAAGCUGACGAUAUAUAAGUACUUAAAAUUACAGAGAAUGGUCAGAGGCGCCAGAAGUUUUUCUGGCGUAAACCCUCCGACGCCCAAGUCAGUUUAUGGGUUUACGGGAAAAACAAAAUAUGUCAGUUCCUAUUUUUAUGAAGAAAAAUAAUCUUAAGUAAAUGUAAUAAAAGAAUAAAAUAAAAAUUCAGAAAGGAAAGUCCCCCCUUGGCGUGAUUUUCUUGGGGUUUUUAUAACACCUUCUACCCACGUCCUUAGGUCGUGACAAUAACAAUUAAUUGAUCAAAUUUGUGCCCUGAUUUUUCGGAUGAGGUUUGUGGUGGUUUAUUUUGACUGAGUCUUGUUUCCUGGUCAUCACCUGAUCUAGGUGGUCUGCUCGAGAUCAUCAAAAUUACCACCUAGUCGAGGUCAUCUGCUUAAGCUCAUAGCACCUAGUCAUCAGCUCAAGCUCAUACCACCUAGUCAUUAGCUCAAGCUCAUAGCACCUGAUUGAGGUGAUCUGCUCAAACUCAUAGCAUCUAGUCGAGGUGGUCUACUCAAGCUCAUAGCACCUGGUCGAGGUGGUCUGCUCAACCAUUUGCUCACUUUUACUUGGAGGAGAUCAUGGUCACCGUAUUUAAUUUCCCAAACAGAUAUAUUGAAAAGGGGAAUAUUGCUUUCAACCAGCAAUCUAACAUAUUUUGAAUGUAGGCAAUCUAACAUACUUUGUUAAGAGAACUCCUAACAGAUUAAAUAUUGCUUUCAACAAGCAGUCUAUCAUAUUUUAAUCGAUCAAUUCAAAGUUAUGGAGAGUAGAGUAAUGUUAUGAAUUCUAACAGUUAAGUUCUAAUUGAUGUGUGGUAUUAAUAUAUUAUAUAUUGAAUUUUAUGACUAGUAAAAUUAAUAUUCUACCGCUUUAUGGAUAAUUACUACACUAAUUGGGACCAAAUUAAGAGUUGAUUGUCAGGAUCCCAAACACUACUAUGCGAAGGAAUAUAUUGGGCAUUAACAAGUCAGUUGGAGCGAGCAAAAAAUUUAACCCAUUUACAAAACAUCGGAAUUCUUUUCACAACAGAAGCAUUCUUGUCACUGGCAAUCAAACAACCAUUCCGUCCCUUUCUCCGCUCAAUAUCUUCGUAAAUUGUUCAUAAUCUUAGCCUUUGAUAGUAAGUUGUUUUUUCUUAAUUGUUCAUAACCUUAACCUUUGUUUAAACAAAUGUUUCAUAGUAAUCUCUUAUUUUGAUAACUAGUUAGGGCAGUUUAAUAAUACUGUAGCUUUUAAAAUAAUUAAUGUUAGUUGUAAUGUAAAAAUAAUUAGUUGUGAGGAAAAGUAAGUUGUUAAAUUUUAUUUAUUUUUUUUGUGCAAUACUAGAUACCCCAGCAUUUAAGUCCCAAUUUUGUUCCACAUAAUAUGGAAUUUAUCAAGUGGUUAAGUAAUUUUACAAAUUAUGAAAUCUAUCAUUCAAUAGAUAAGUGAUACAUAGCAUUAGAAUUCAAAUACUAGGAUCCCUAUCAUCAUUAUUAAUAAAUCUUAUUCUCCAAAUCAAAAUUUGAAAAACUAUUCCUUUUUUUUAUUCAAAAGAUGCAAUAGCGUGUAGUGGUUUUAUCAUAAGUGGCACUCAUAAAAAUAUAUUUUUAGAUUAGGAGACGUGUGAUCACUACUCAAAUACUAAAAAACCCUAUAACUAAUUAAAUAAUAAGAAUAUGGAAGUUAAAAUAAAAGAAUUUCUAAACCUGUCCUACAUCACACGACAAGUGACUAUACAUCAUGAUGUUAGCCAAAAAAUUAAUAAUAAGGAGCUUGUUACCUUACAUAGUAAUGUAAUAUACAUAAUUGUCUUGUAAUCAUUUGAUGAAAAUCAAACGCUGUAAAAAAAAAAGAUUCUAUUACUUUAUAUUUUUAUAGUCGUUCGAUUUUCAUUGAACGGUUACAUGACCAUUGUCUACCUUACAUUAUUACGUAAGAUAACAAUUGCCUAAAAAUAAAUGCUAAUCAUACCUAACCUCUAGACUUUAACGAUCACUUUGGAUGAGUUCUUGAAUAUUGAUCAACAAAUUUCUCUUCUAUAUUUAUUUAUUUCACUACAUUUCACACAUCACCCUGAUUACAAUUUUAUUUUAUUUUAUUCUUCCAGUUCAGUCAACAAGAGAAUAACAUGUAAUUUACCAAACCCUUUAUCAAGUCUCGAUCUUAUGCUGAUCCCUAUAGUAGCACUUGUAUUUUUCAUAUCAACGUCAUUUGUUGUCAUGAAGAAGGUGAAUGGUCUUCUUUUUUUCUUGGAAGUUCAUGAAAGGAAAUCAAUUUUUCUUUUUUUAAUUUCUUGCACUUGGAAUACAAAUAAUCUAAGCGUUUUCUUUGCAUAUUAGUCGACUUUGAAUUGACCCAAAAUCGCGAAACAUUGGCCCUUAACCCUCUCUCUCUCUCUCUCUCUUUAAUGACUAAAUAAGUGAAAUUAUCACUGAAAAUUUUAAGCAACAAACCAGCAAUUUUACAUUAAAAAAAAUCGAUAAUCAAAUGUAAAGAAUUACCUGGUUAAUCUUUAUCCACUGUGGUAGUUUUCAACAGCUUUACAAAAUAACUGUAAGCCAAGUAUUUCAAUUAAAAGUCAUGGAUAACAAAAAAAUUACCUAAAACAAAGAACACGUUGCUUUUAAUAAUAUACGAUAUAGGUGCAUUAAAUUACUAAUAGUACUCAACUACUAACCCUUUUACAAUGACACAGUAAAAGAGCACCGCAAAGAUUAUAUUUUCUGACAUUUUGUUGUGCGAUGGGACAAUUCAUACUCUAGAAAAUAAUCAGAACACUCAUAAUCUAAUAAAAUUUAUUUUACGCUGAUAAAUUAUUCGUUAUGCAAUUUACCGUUAUAGACAAUUAGACUUAAUAGAUUUAAUGUCUUUUUACGCAUGUUCUUUGCUCAAAAAAGAAAAUCUGAUUCUAUCUCCCUUAGUUUUUUUUUUCUAACAUUUUCUCCUCCUCGAUUUCACAAGUAAAUAUUUAUGCUAACAAACUGUUAUUAAAAAAAAACAGAUAAACAAAUAAAUAAUUAGGUUGCUGUUUAUCUUAGAAGAACAAAUAACAAGAAUGUCCAAAGUAUUAUUUAUACUUAAGCAUAAAUUUUAUUUUAUUUAACUUAAAAAAAUUAGGAAUAAUAAUUUGGUUACAAUCUUUAGAAUUAGAUAGAACCUCCCUCANNNNNNNNNNNNNNNNNNNNNNNNNNNNNNNNNNNNNNNNNNNNNNNNNNNNNNNNNNNNNNNNNNNNNNNNNNNNNNNNNNNNNNNNNNNNNNNNNNNNNNNNNNNNNNNNNNNNNNNNNNNNNNNNNNNNNNNNNNNNNNNNNNNNNNNNNNNNNNNNNNNNNNNNNNNNNNNNNNNNNNNNNNNNNNNNNNNNNNNNNNNNNNNNNNNNNNNNNNNNNNNNNNNNNNNNNNNNNNNNNNNNNNNNNNNNNNNNNNNNNNNNNNNNNNNNNNNNNNNNNNNNNNNNNNNNNNNNNNNNNNNNNNNNNNNNNNNNNNNNNNNNNNNNNNNNNNNNNNNNNNNNNNNNNNNNNNNNNNNNNNNNNNNNNNNNNNNNNNNNNNNNNNNNNNNNNNNNNNNNNNNNNNNNNNNNNNNNNNNNNNNNNNNNNNNNNNNNNNNNNNNNNNNNNNNNNNNNNNNNNNNNNNNNNNNNNNNNNNNNNNNNNNNNNNNNNNNNNNNNNNNNNNNNNNNNNNNNNNNNNNNNNNNNNNNNNNNNNNNNNNNNNNNNNNNNNNNNNNNNNNNNNNNNNNNNNNNNNNNNNNNNNNNNNNNNNNNNNNNNNNNNNNNNNNNNNNNNNNNNNNNNNNNNNNNNNNNNNNNNNNNNNNNNNNNNNNNNNNNNNNNNNNNNNNNNNNNNNNNNNNNNNNNNNNNNNNNNNNNNNNNNNNNNNNNNNNNNNNNNNNNNNNNNNNNNNNNNNNNNNNNNNNNNNNNNNNNNNNNNNNNNNNNNNNNNNNNNNNNNNNNNNNNNNNNNNNNNNNNNNNNNNNNNNNNNNNNNNNNNNNNNNNNNNNNNNNNNNNNNNNNNNNNNNNNNNNNNNNNNNNNNNNNNNNNNNNNNNNNNNNNNNNNNNNNNNNNNNNNNNNNNNNNNNNNNNNNNNNNNNNNNNNNNNNNNNNNNNNNNNNNNNNNNNNNNNNNNNNNNNNNNNNNNNNNNNNNNNNNNNNNNNNNNNNNNNNNNNNNNNNNNNNNNNNNNNNNNNNNNNNNNNNNNNNNNNNNNNNNNNNNNNNNNNNNNNNNNNNNNNNNNNNNNNNNNNNNNNNNNNNNNNNNNNNNNNNNNNNNNNNNNNNNNNNNNNNNNNNNNNNNNNNNNNNNNNNNNNNNNNNNNNNNNNNNNNNNNNNNNNNNNNNNNNNNNNNNNNNNNNNNNNNNNNNNNNNNNNNNNNNNNNNNNNNNNNNNNNNNNNNNNNNNNNNNNNNNNNNNNNNNNNNNNNNNNNNNNNNNNNNNNNNNNNNNNNNNNNNNNNNNNNNNNNNNNNNNNNNNNNNNNNNNNNNNNNNNNNNNNNNNNNNNNNNNNNNNNNNNNNNNNNNNNNNNNNNNNNNNNNNNNNNNNNNNNNNNNNNNNNNNNNNNNNUAAAUGUCGUUAAUUAAUUAAUUAACUAAAUACAAGUUGGUCUAUGGAGGCCAAUAUCUGAUCCCUUCACAAUAACCAAAAUAUUAAAUUCAGUGCACAAAUUUAGAUACAUGCAGACAAAUAAGAUGCAGGUUAUUAUGGCCUACCUUGAACAUCAAAAUUUUUUUUUUUCAAUCCAAUCCCUCUUAGGAUAUAAACUCGUUAACGAAAAAAGAGCAUUAGAAAAAAUAAAAAGCUACAAUGUCGAUUUCCAUUUAGUGUACAAUUCUUUACUUUUGAAGACAGGACAUACAAAAUAAUUAGAUUGAAUUGUGUCUGAUUAUGAGAAGCAUUGAAAAUUGCAUAUAUUGAUAAUUUCUUAAACCUAUUUUUAUAAUAUUUAAAUCCUUGAAGCUUAAACUAGCAAGAGUCUAGCCAGAUCUUAUAUCAAUACUUCCAGCCCGUCAAUGAAAUAAGAUCCACAAAAGAUGGGACACGGGAGAAGGGAUGAAGUUUACUCACCUUCAAUAUCAAUACUUCCAUUCAAUUCAUUAGUACCCAAUGAUAAGUGUUUGAGUGAUGAAAGACCACCUAGAGAUGAAAAGAUGCUGUUGUUGAAGUGGUUAAGGGUUAAAUCAAGAAACUUCAAGUUCUUCAAACUUGAUAACCUAUCUAGACCUGUCAAAAAAUAAAAAGUAAAAAAUAAAAAAUAAAACAUAAUUUUAUUGUAUCACGUAUAAAUUAAACAAAAGUCAAAAGGGAUUAGAUAAAUGUAAGAAAUUACGAAGGAGAAUUAAAAUAGAGUAAAUUAAGGACCUUCAUUUUGAACACAACCGGUUAUAUUAUUCCCACUUAAAUCAAGAAACUCUAAUUGUUGAAAGGGAGUAAACAGAGAGGCAUUCAUAUACCACUCUGCUGAGUCCCGUUUUCGAAAUGCUAGAUCUAAUUUAAUCACUCUGCCAGUGGUGUUGUUGCACUCAACCCCUUCCCACUGACAACAAUCUGAAUAAUUCUCACCAUCAUUCCAGUAGUGAAGAUGUUUACUAUCAUUGAAGAAAUGUUUAAGUUGGAGGAGAGCAGACCUCUCUUGCUCCAAACAUCCCUCACUCCACCACCCUUUAACUGCUAAUAAUAUGAAAAUUAACUCACUCACCCACACCCUUUUUGAACCACACAUUAUAUCUUCUUAAUUAUAAUCACCUACACACACUCUUUCUGUCACUCUUUGCUUCAGUUCUGCAACAACGAGAGGAUGGCUGUAUGCUAUUUAUAACCAAUUGAACUGAUGAUACUCCCAGCUUUUAAUUGACUUCUCUAAGUCUUGCAUGCGUUUUUCUUCAUUUCUUUUUAUUUUUACUGUUAAUAUGUAAUAUGAUUAUAAUAUAUUUUAUUUAAUUCAGUCAACUGAAAAUAUUUCCUCUCCGUCCAUACUCCAUAUGGGAUGUCAUAAAUAUCUGCACAGCCUGGAUUCUGACGGAACCUUGGGCAACGCGGGUAAUACCGAUUGUAUUUGUCAUAUCAACAUCAUUCGUUGUCACGAAGAAGGUGAAGAGUCUUCUUUCUUUCUUCGAAGUUCAUGAAAGGAAAUCAUGUUUUACACGUUAGUUGACUUUGAAUUGACCCCAAAUCGCGAAACAUUGGCCCUCAAUCCUCUCUCUCUCUCUCUCUCUCUAAUUACUAAAUAAGUGAAAUUAUUAUUGAAAAUUUUAAGCUACAAACCAGCAAUUUUACAUUAAAAAAAAUCGAUAAUCAAAUCUUUAUCCACUGUUGUAGCUUUCGACAGCUUUGCAAAAUAACUGUAAGCCAAUAUAUUUCAAUUAAAAGUCACGUUGCUUUUAACAACCUUUGGCAACCAGAUACAUUGAUGGGUCGAAUAUACAAUAUUGGUGACAUUACAUUAGUAAUAUUACUCAACUAUUAACCUUUUUAAAACGACACAGUAAAAGACCACCGAAAAGGUUAUAUUUUUCGGCGUUUUUUUGUUUUACGAUGGGACAAUUCGUACUCUAAAAACUAAUCAGAACACUCAUAAUCUAAUAAAAUUUAUUUUACGCUGAUAAAUUAUUCGUUAUGCAAUUUACCGUUAUAGACAAGUAGACUUAAUAGAUUUAAUAUCUUUUUACGUAUGUUCUUUGCUCAAAAUAGAAAAUCUGAUUCCAUCUCCCUUAAUUUUUUUUCUUUUUACUUUUUCUAACAUUUUCUCCUCCUCGAUUUCACAGGUAAAUAUUUAUGCUAACAAACUGUUAUUGAAAAAAAAAAGACAAACAAAUAGAUAAUUGGGUUGCUGUUUAUCUUAAAAGAACAAAUAUCAAGAAUGUCCAAAGUAUUAUUUAUAUUUAAGCAUAAAUUUUAUUUUAUUUAACUUAAAAAAAUUGGGGAUAAUGACUUGGUUACAAUCUUUAGAAUUAGAUAGAACCUCCCUCAAGUCUCGGCUCCAAAAACUUAUUCUUGUAUGUAAUAACGUUAUGUAUUUGUCACGUUAACAUAAUUGGAGUCACUGUCCGGAAAGAGACGAGAGGCACUCUCUUUCAUGGAAAUUCAUGAACACGUGAAAGCAAAUCAAACCAUUUUAGGGUGCGUGGAAGUUAGGCAUGGAAUAUUUGUAAUUGACUUUGAGUCAACAAAUGCCCCCUUUUCUCUCUUAUUUCUAUGAUUACUUAAAUAAAUUAUUUUAUAUUAAAAAAAAAACAACAGUGAAAAUUGAAAGCAAGAAAAAUUUUAGUAAACGACAUACUUAACUGAAAUGCCAGCAAUCAAAUGCAAAGAAGACCUGCUUAGUCUUUUCAAGAGCUAUUGAAUGCAACUUUAUCAAUUCAAAGUUAUGGAUAUAAUGAAAAAGCGAAUAUUGCUUUCAACAAGCAGUCUAACAUAUUUUUUAAUGUAGGCAAUCUCACAUAAUCUGUUAAGAGAACUCCACUGAAGAGUAGAGUAAUGUUAUGAUUUCUGACAGUUAAGUCUUAAUUUAUGUGUGUUAUUAAUCUAUUAGAUAUUAGAUUUCAUGACUAUUAGAAUUAAUAUUUUACUGCUCAAUAGAUGAUUACUAUACUAAUUGGGACCAAAUUAAGAGUUGAUUGUUAGGAUCCCAAAUACUACUGUGCAAAGUAAUAUAUAUGAUUACUAUACUAAUUGGGACCAAAUUAAUUUAUGUGUGUUAUUAAUCUAUUAGAUAUUAGAUUUCAUGACUAUUAGAAUUAAUAUUUUACUGCUCAAUAGAUGAUUACUAUACUAAUUGGGACCAAAUUAAGAGUUGAUUGUUAGGAUCCCAAAUACUACUGUGCAAAGUAAUAUAUUGGGCAUAAGCAAGUCAUUGAAGCGAGCGAAAAAUUCAACCCAUUUACAAACCAUCAAAUUUCUUUUCACAACACAAGCAUUUUUGUCAUCGGCAAUUCAAACAACCAUUCCGUCCCUUUCUCUGCUCAAUACCUUCCUUAAAUUGUUCAUAAUCUUAACCUUUGAUUUAAGUUGUUUCUUCUUAAUUGUUCGUAGCCUUAACAUUUGUUUAAGCACAUGUUUCCUAGUAAUUUCUUAUUUUAACAUGCUUUCAUCUUUUGAUAACUAGUCAGGGCAAUUUAAUAAUACUAUUACUUUUAAAAUAAUUAAUGUUAGUCGAGAUGUAAAAAUAAUUAGCCGUGUGAAGAUAAAUUGUUAAGUUUUUAUUUAUUUAUUUAUGCAAUGUUAGAUAUUCCAACAUUUAAGUCCUAAUUUAGUCCCAACAAAUAUAACAUUUAUCAAGUGGUUAAAUACUUUUACAAACUAUGAAAUCUAUUAUUUAAUAAAUCAGUGAUACAUAAUAUUAAGAUUCAAAUAUCAAGAUUUCUAACAUCAUUAUUAUUAAAUCUUAUUCUCUGAAUUAAUCUUGGAAAACUAUUCCAUUUUUCUUUUUCAAAAGAUGCAAUAGCGUGUGUAGCGGUUUGAAUUAAUUGUGCAAACUACUUUUCAAUGAAAUAAACAAAAAUGGGCCCUCGAUUUGGUUGCAAUACCGUGUGUAGCGGUUUGAAUUAAUUGCAAACACUCUUUUGUACUUGGCAAUGGUCUCUUGGCCCACUGUCACACCCUACGCUCUCAAACUAGCGUGUAUGAGUUCUGAAUCCUGACUAUUGAAAGGACUUAAUUCUCGUUCCAGUUAAAUUGGAUAGAAGUAAAAAUGUCUCUUCGUUAAUAGUGGAAAAGAAUAUAUAUCUCUCUUUGAUAUUAUAUGAGAAUAGGAAUUUGGGUUGUACUAGUUUAGAAUUAUCAAAGAUAGUCAGAUAAAAUUCUGAUUGUAAAUAUUAAUAGAAUCUUGAUUGUUAUAUAUCAAUGUAACAAAAAAAAAAAAAAAACUCAUAGUCCUUAUGAUUACCUGUUUCCAUAAGCCACCAAUAUCUCACCGUUGCUUUCAUUUACAAAUAAUCUAACGACCGUUUAAGAUACAAAAUUUGUAGCCCUCAAUCUCUAUUUCUUACUUUUGUUUUGUAGCCCUCGUUCUCUAUUUCUUACUUUUGUUGUUUUUCCUUUUUGAAAAAAAAUUAAAAUUAUGUUAUAACCAUUUCGUAAAUUAUUGUUUUAUUUUUCAAAAUUACAUUGCAAUCUAUUUAUAAAAUCAGGUAUUACCCUACUUUUAGUUUUAAUGCAAGUUUUGUUUAUUAUUAAAAAAGAUACAGCAUAAAAUUAUUGGAAACAACUGAAUUUAACCAUUCAAUUUUGAUCGCAUGCAUGGCAUAUAACUAAAUUGGGCCGCUUCUGCUCACCUCUUACCCGAUUUUAUAUGCUCAAAUUGAUCAGUCGAAUCCAAAUGGGGGGAUCUGAUAUUUUGGGUUGUGGUGGAACUGACGGAGCCACAUAUUUGGAUACUGACCUAGAGAUUUCUUUGAAUAAUUUUAUAGUGUUGCUCAAGUGAUAUUGCGUGAGGCUUGCGGGUGAAUCAAACACAUCAGCUCUAAACGGCAGCGUUUUGGCAUUAUAAGAUAAGAGCACUUAAAAGUCACGGGCUGAAGCACGUGUGUAAUCACUUGUUUCUUAAGAUUGAAACGGCAGUUCUUCUUUGUCGUUUAAGGGAAAGCUUUAAGUGAUGCACGUGAUAGCCGUGCGUGGCAACUUGAUUCAGUUCGUUAAGUUUGUUGCUCAACGUGUCAACAAGCUGUGCAAUCUGGAUUUAGCUGAUUCGUUGCUCUUGUAGUUCAGUUUGUGAGCUGAGCGUGUGUGUAACCGUGUUAAGAGAGAGAGAUAUCAGAGAAUGUGAAAGAUGAGUUCUCUGUAAUCUUAAGUAAAAGCCCUGUAAAAGAUCCUCCAUUGUUAUUCAAUAAAAGCUCUUCAGAAAGCAUCUCCCGUGGAUGUAGGUUGUACCUCCUUGGUGCAACCGAACCACGUAAUUGAUUCUUGUGUUGUCUGUGUUUGUUUCUAUUCUUUUCAGUUCUCUUAAUUCUUGUGUUAAAUUGAUUCUUUCUGGAUUCGUUCUUCAAUCUGUGCAACUUGGUAAAUCUAUAUCUGAGAUCCUGGGAAGUGAUUGUGUCUUGCAUAGUUACGAGCAGAUUCAUUCACUACGUAUUGUUUCAUUUUUUCCAAAAUCAAAACCACGUUGAUUUGAUUUUGAACUUUUUCUGGUGAAUAGUUUCUUCACCUUGCAGCCUUAUCAGGUCGUUAAUUAUUUCAUUCUUCACCGCAUAGCGAGACCAUCCAGUGAUUUAAUCAUGCAGCUAGUGAAUGUGAGUUUCUGCAGAUGCAUUAGUAGGUUUUUGCUUGUAUUUAGGCCCUCUACUCUCAUAGGGAAAGGCAAUUGCAUUGUACACACUAAUUUGGUUGCAUGGAAUUGAUAUUUUUUCUUAAUUAUCUGGAUCCAUCUGUUUGCCCUGUUCGGUCCAAAAUAUCAAAUAUUUAUAAAUUCAACCAUGCCAUCAUCUAAUUCCUUUGAACUUAUAACUGUUUCACAAGUUACUUAUGCUACUCUUAAUAUUUUGAGAUUGAAGACAUGUUCAUAUUUGAUUUCCUUCAUUCAGUUGCGUACUGCCUUUGGCUGCAGAAUUUGCAAUCUGACCAUCUAAUUAUGAUAAAAUUAACUGGCAUUUUUUGCAGGCGUAUCUUUCUCGACCACUAAAGAGAUGUUAGCUGAUGCUUUUUCACAAUUUGGCCAAGUCACUGAGGGUUUGGUCUAUUUCUGUUUUAAGUCUCAACCCCUCUUCCCUCUUCACUAUUUUGUAAUAUCCGAUUCUUUUCUUUUUGCAGCUACAAUAAUAAUGGAUAAAGGUAAGAAUAGAUCAAAAGGUUACGGGUAUGUGACUUUCAGUACAGAAGAGGAAGCCCAAAAAGCCUUGGCAGACAUGAAUGGGAAGGUAAAAUUGCAUCAUUUUUCUCUAAUUUACCAUGCUUAUAUUGUUGAGUUAAAGCAUCUCACAGUAUGUACUUGCAGUUACUAGAUGGACGAGUUAUUUUUGUGGAUAAUGUAAGACCCAGCAGACGUUACAAUACUGAUGCGCCCCUUGCAAGACAACUUCCUCAGUCUCCUGAAGAAAAUUGAUAUUAAAUUUGUCGAAAGUUGGAGAUUAUAGCCUAAUUUUCUGUACAUAUAUUUAGUCUUUCCUAGUAUAGCUUAUUUUUCUAAUUUCAUAUAGCUUCCUUAUAUAGCCUAGUCAGACUAGUAUAUAAUGUAAAGAUUGCAACUUCUAUGAAAAAAAAAUAUCUUCCCAAUAUUUUUUCUCAAAAUUGUUUUACAUUUCAUAUUAAUAUAUUGCAACAAUUCUGUUGUUCUUUUAUGAUUACCUUCUUGUUGACAUGGGAUAUCUCUGUUUAUCGUUUGGGUAACUGCUAUGAGGAAGGAGCAAAGAUCUGGGAGAUUGCGCUGGAUCUGCGGCUACCUUGCAAUUUUCAAGUUAUGAUAAUAUGAACGGGAAAAUGGGAGACUCUUGGUUUUGGAUUUUAGAUGAUAUAAUUGCCAUUAGAUUGAUAUCAUAUGCGCCCUUGUGUAAAUAUGACCUAAGUUGAUUUGAAGUGCUCAUAAGCUGGAAGAAACAUCGUUGGUACCUUGGCGCAUAGUGGUUUUAUUCCAUCUGAAAAUUUUCCCAGAUGCAUCAAACCCGAAAAACUGCGGUUUCGGAUACAAGUUCAUAGAAGAAAUGUACAUUCUGUUGAUUGGCUCAAAAGAAAAUUACUCUUCUCAAAGUGUGUGCGCGUGCAUAUAUAUAAUGCAUUACGAGACUAAAUACAAGCCCGUGGACACACAUCUUUUAUUGUAAGAAAUUCCGCUCAUAGAUCGUCUGCUGCGAUAAACAAAAAAAUAAUUCGUCUUGUUUCGAUAAUUCAGACACUUCUCUUGGCUUAGUGCCUCUAUCCGCUGUAAUCACCAAGUUCAGAAAUCACAUAAGCAUUAUUCUCUGCCCAAAAAAAAAAAAAAAGGCCAGCUGUAACAUCAGGAUGAAAAAUUGUUAAGGAAGCUCAUCAUGCUUGCUGUACAGUAAGCAAAACAGAAGAUAAAGCAGAGGAUUGCGGCAGCUAUAGCACACAGUUAAAGGUUGAUGACUUGGCUGUCCAGCUGGCACCUGAUGGUUAUGUGAUUACCAGUACACGUGAAGAUUUAGUUUGAUUAGUUAUAUUUAGUAAAUUGCUAAAGUAGUAGUUAGUUAUACAAUUAAGCUGUUAUCUUCAGCUGUGUACAUAAACAACAAUGUAUUCACAUUUUGAGUAUUCGGAACAAAUUGAAAGAUGUUCUAGAAUCCUCUUAGCUUCAAUUUUAUUCUCUCAACUUUCUUCCAUUUUCUCGUUUGCCAAACACUCAAUAAAACAAUUUUAACUAAAAUGAAUCUCAACAAAUGUUUUUCGCAUAUUAGAUUUUCUAUUUUUGGCACAACAAGCUAUAGGCAUCUUCCUAGGAUCAAUUGUUGAAAACUAUCCUUUGUGUCACUGAGCUAAACCAUAACACAUUCGUAGUUGUCAUUUGCCAACUUCUCCUGGGAGACUUCCACCUCGGUUAUGAGAGAAAAUCUUCUCUGAAAAAGUUACACAGGACUGGUGCAGCAUCGUGCUUCCGCAUCAAGCUUUUUUUACCUUACGGGAUGGGGGUCUUCGAAACAAACUGAUUAGAUCAUCAAGACCCUGUUGGAAAACUUGGAACUUUUGAAGUUUCUAUUCUAAUCUGUUUGCAAUGAAAUUAUAAAACAUCAAAUAAAAGAUAAAACUGAAAUUUAGAACUUCAAGCUUGAUAUGGAGAAAGAGUAAUACCCAAGUUGUUAUGACAAGAAAGCUGAAAAGCACAAUUAAAUACGAUCCCAACACUAGAAGCAACAGCAAGUCGAAUGUUACACUAGCAACCUGUAAAAAAAAUCUGCAGUAAUGAGCUUCAAGCAAAUGAAGGAAAAAGAUCAAAACUUUAUACAUAAAAAGCUAAUGAAGGACUCUGAAGUACGUAGAAGGCUUGAGACGAGCCGUCUAGCGUUCAAUGGAGAGAGAGAUUACACGUCUAAACAAUAUUAGUUUCUAGAAGGUAAAAACAAGCAGGCACCUGAUAUAUGUUGAGGCUAGCUUUAGUUGUAUCAUAGAAAGUAAACAUCCCGUCAAGCACCUCAUGUUGCACACUCACCUCGUCGGUAUGAUCGGCCAGUUCCUGCAAUCAAACAUACAGAAUAAGGUUAUACAAAGUAACAGGCUUGGGCUUUCUCACCGAAGCGGGGUUGUUAGUGGAGAUUCUGAGUCCAAUUUUACAAACUUAAGAUCGAGUUAUUCAGUCUUAAAGUCUGUUUGGUAUAGCUUCUUUAAGUAGAUUCUACACUAGUAGAGCUUUUAACAAAAUGUUGUUGGUUGUUUAGUUGUCCAUAUAACAUCUUUUAGCAAACAAUAACAUCAAGUUAUUUUUGACAAUUCAACCUUUCAAAAAAGCCCAAAAAAUCUCCUAAAAGCUUCCUACAGAGAACAGGAAACAUCAUUUUUAAUCUUCCACAAGCUCUUCCUUAGUUAAACCAAACAAGAAAAACAGUUUGAAACAGUUUUAACAUCUAAAAAAGCUCUUUGGUCCCAUAAAGAAACCAUCUGUGUAUAUCUUGGUCCUUGUAAUUAUCUUUAGGCUUUGCAAAUAUCUUCUAACACUGUUUGAAAUGGAAGAGUUCUCUUUGGAUUACAUUGAUUCUUUGAAUAGGAAAGAUCUAAACGAUAACUUUUUAAACAAAAACUAUUAAUUAAUGGCUUUCUUUAUCAGGCUGUGAUUCUUCGUUUUCGUGGCUUAAUAUGUAAAAUGUAACUAACAUAGGUACAUGGAAGGCUACAGGAACUAGAUGGUUGACUAUGCUAUUCACCCAGUCAUUGGUUGAAGGUGCAGUAGAUACCUAAUCUUAAUUAAUGUUGAAUUUACUUAUAAAUGUUCGUUUGCAAGACUUAUUUGUGUUUUUACCAGGAUAGUGAAGGCUAAAAUAGGAGUAUAUGGGAUGUUGUUAGCAAUUGCUUAUUAAGGUCUGUAUUAUCAUGAGUUGUCUUUUCUAAUUAGUUCUUGAUUUGACACUAAAGAAGUCUUGGACUAGUUAAUUAGUAAAAUGCGAUGUAAUAAUAAUAUAGUCUGUAUAUUUUCUCUACCCAAAUAGUAACGUAGUCUUUUUAUUAUAGUUCUGUAGGUGUGGGCAAUGAAGAAAGGUUAGAAAAGUUGCCUAACGGUGGUUGAAAGGGAGCAAAAACGUGGUUACUAGCUAGGUCGAUUUGUUGUCCCCCGGGGGGGUGGGGUGGGGUUUGGCAGAAUAACAUGUUGGCAACCUAUAGAUUGCUAUUUUACCUUCAAAAAAGAUCAAAUAGAUGAUGCUGGAAAGUUCCAAGUCAAAACAAGGAAAAGGGAAAAAGAAAUUUCAAUGGAGGUCCAAAGCAAUAGAUAUUCUCAUGGCAGGAGAUCUAGUAAGUCACCUAUCUGGACCACAAGCCUCCUUCUUCCUUCAAGAUUGUAAGGUUCAGUUGGGGGCCCCUAGUUUCUGACUCAAGUUCGUUAAUUGGGUUCGAAGGUAUCUGGAUUAAUCCUACUAACAUAUCUUCUGAUGUGUCAUAGUUGUAAAACAGUUGUAUGCUCUUUCAUUUAGAAUGGCUGUAUCAUACUCUUAUUGGUGCCUAGUAUUUGUGAGUUCAUAAGAGUGAUUUUUACUAUUGUAUAUUGUUAGCAGUUCGUAAUAUAUACACUUUAAUUUUUCCUCCUAGUUAAGUGUAUUAUGUGCUUUUCAUUUGCAAAAUUUGUACGAAACUUUUAUUGUGUAACUCUCAAUAUCAAUAAAGUAGGACUAUUGCCUGAUGCUUGGAAUUUCUAAGAUGAGGGUUUUUAUGAUUUUGUCAAAUUUCCGAUGAUCCAAAACGGACCUAAAUAGCUUUCAAUGGGUGUUUGCUUGACAGAAGCUUUAACAUGAUAGGUGAAGGCUCUUUUAGUUGUUAACUAAUCAUUGUACUUCCUAAGCAAGUUUGAUUUAUUGCUCUCUGGGCAAAUUUGUUGUAGGUGUAAUAAUUUCGGUCCUCAUUUUUUUUCUUUUAUAUUUUUCUAAGAGAUCCAUUUAAGCAUAUUAAUCGCAAAAAAUCAAGUGACGUACGUAAAUGAAUGGUAAAUAAUAGUGAAAAAUAGAACAAAAAUUGUACAUCUUUCGUUCAUAUAUGUAUUCUUAAUUAAUGUAAUAAAAGGUUAGGUUUAUAAAAUUACUUAAUUUAAUUUGAGAGACAAAAAGUGGUGUAACAUACGUAUAUUAUAAUACAUUCACUAACUUUAGGGAUCCUAAUUAUUGUACUAAUAUUCAACUGUAAUUGUCACAUUAUAUUAGUCAUUGAUGUUUACUAAGUUUUUCUUGAAUAAUAAUCUCAUCAUUUCAUGAUAAACAUUAAUAAUUAAGUUAAUGUUGCAGUUACCGAUGAGUUAUUAUAUUAGUUAUGAUUGAAACAUUGAGAUAAUAAUUGGGAUUUCUAACAUUAUUCUAACACAUUAAUAUUGAUAAAUUUAAAAAAUAAAAGGGGUUAAUAGUGUAUGGGUAAAAUAUGAUUAUAAUAAAUCUAAUUUUGGGGUCUAAAUGACAUAAAGGAAAACAAAAAAAGUAGAGAAAUUGAAAGAAAUAAAUGCUAUUUCCCAGAUGUUUGAAAGACGUUAAAGCAAGAUCAAUCUCGAGUCUCAGUCCAAACUGUUCACCUCACCUUGUUUGGCUGUUCAACUCUUUCACGCUCUCUCGGCUAUCUUAUCAAACACUUUAUUUACAAAAGAGAGAGCUCACAGAAAGACCAUGGGGCUUCUGCUUGGGGCAGAGCCCAAAAGGACUAUGAAAAAUGUCGCAGAACGGAAAAUUGAUGCCUAAUCUGGACCAGCAGAGCACAAAACUCCUAAACUUGACAGUUCUUCAGCGAAUCGAUCCAUUCAUUGAGGAGAUCCUCAUCACGGCUGCUCAUGUCACCUUCUACGAGUUCAACAUCGACCUCAGCCAAUGGAGUCGUAAGGAUGUUGAAGGAUCUCUGUUCGUCGUCAAAAGGUCAAUAAAAUUAGAUUCUUUUCUCUCUUAUGCUUUCCAUUUCUUCAUUUGAUAUUCGUUGUUUUGGAGAUUGUAUUACAUAUGAAGUUUGUGAAAUUAUUAUUUUUUCAAUUUUCAGGAACACACAGCCUCGAUUUCAGUUUGUUGUGAUGAAUCGACGUAAUACAUGUUGGUUUAUCGUUGCUUCUAUUUUAGUUUUGAUUAUUUGUACGUGAACUAGUUUUAAUUUCAGUGAUGAAUCACUUUAUCACAGUUCUAGCUAAUAAUUGAGGUUUUAGAACGAAGAAUAGAAUGUACCUAACCGAAAAUAUUUAUAUGCCAAUAUUACAGAGGCUAAAGUAUUUGCAAUGUUGUUGUUUAGCGUUAAAUAUUGGUCGUUUUAUGACCAUCAGGAGAGGGGGUUGGUACAAUUAUUUAGAUACCGUGAGUCUAUCUUGUCUACAACUUGUGUUAUAUUUCAUGUCUUGUUGUGCUUAUCAGUUGUUGCUAAGUUUUAGUUAUAUCUCCUAACCUUCAUGUCUUUUUGCAUAUGUUUUUGCACUGAUAAGCUUUAAUAUCUUGGAUAUGUGCAGAUAAUUUAGUGGAAAAUCUUUUGGGAGAUUUUGAGUUUGAAGUUCAGGUUCCGUAUUUGUUAUAUCGAAAUGCAUCCCAAGAAGUAAAUGGGAUUUGGUUCUACAAUGCUCGUGAAUGUGAAGAGGUAGCAAAUCUUUUUAGCAGGUAUUGUUGUUUUACUGGUUUUACUAGUGUAGUAGUUUAAGUGUAUAUUAUUAUGUUUUACAUGCUAAUAAUUGACACAUAGAGAAUAGUUUAGAAUCUUAACCAAACUUGGAAAUGUGUUUCAAAUAAUAGAGUAUGGUUAUUACAUGUUGCUUCUGCCGAGGCCUCGUGAACCUGGUUUUAGUUAUUGUUUUCCUGAAUUUUAUAUUGGAAUUAUUAUUCUUGGAAUCUGGCUUGUACAGAUUUCUUUUUUGCCUUGUGUGGCAUCUUUGAAGUUUGGUUAAUAAAACUUGUUUAAUGCUAUUAUAUUCUCCUCCUUGCAUGCUUUUUAUUUUGAGAUGUGCAGUGCCAAGUGCAAAGGAGUUAUUUUUGUAUAGAAACUGACUAUUUUAUACUAGAGUCGUUCUGUGCCCCUUAAGAUUGGAAAAAGAACGGGUUGCGUUUCCUUUACAUUUAGGAGAUAGGAGAACAAAACAACCUGGGGAGUUGGUAACGAAGCCUUCAAUUUUUUUUCAUCAUGCAAGGGUGGACCAAAGAUUCUAUAGAUGAUAUCUGGAGUCCUCGGUGUUCUCAUAUUAGGUUUUUAUGGUUUCAUUGUUCUUCAGAUUCGUCUGAAAAUGUGCAUCUCAUAAAGACAUGAUUGUUUUAUUUGUUGACUUGCAUGUGGUAAAAGUCAAUUUUCUUGCCGUAAAAAAUAGAACGCAAGAAGAUUCUUUGAGGUUCUAUAUUUGUAAAUUUUUCAAUUUGGUAUGGACUAUAGGUUGUACAGUCAAUGAGAAUUUAAAUUGGUUUUUUAGGAGUGGGGGCUGAGGUGGUGUGGGAAGAAAUCUUUAUAUUGUAUUAGUCUAUGGGAGCAACAAGUUCAGAAGUAUGGUUAGAAUGUGGAAUUUUUUCAAGCAAGUGCAAGCUCCCAGAAUUUUAAAGAAACGAGUGAAUGGCAAGAGAGAAUAGAGAGAAAAUUUCAGAGAAGAAGAAGAAACUGAGUCCAGAAUUUUAUAUAUAUAUCCCAUCAAAUACAACCAUGGAAAUACUUAUAGCAGCAAGAAUAUGCUCACAGCUGUCAAAACUAAAUAACAACCUCUCUCUAUAACAAAGAAUUAUUCUCUAAAUAGCUAAAGCCGUUAGAAACCGAAUCCUCUGCUCAUAUAUGCUCAGUGUGUGUAAUCCUUGAACCAUUUGGGUGGCUUCCUUACGCGACUUGGCUUGAUGAUAUCUUGGGGUCGGUUUUGGAUAGCCUCACUUGAGUUUGCCUGGGCCUUUUCCUCGCUAUUGAUAGAGCUAGCUGAGUUGGGCUUGUCUAACUGUAAUAUUGGGGUUGUAUCACCCUCCACUCCUUGAGGAAUCACCUUGUCCUCAAGGUGAAAAUUCGGGUACUGCUUAGUGAAUUCGGAAAGAGCUUCCCAUGUUGCAUUCUCAGGAGCACAAUCCUGCCACUGCACUAAAAUUUGGGAUUGUAGGAUGCCAUGAACCAACACUUGACGUUGAACACAAAUAGCAAUGGGAACAGACAUAGGCUGGUUAUUGUAAGACUCGCUAGGUAGUGAGUGAACUUGUGAGGCAUCCUGACCAUGAAACGGCUUGAGAAGUGAGAUGUGAAAGACUGGAUGAAUCUUAGAAUCAGGAGGUAAAUCCAAGCGAUAGGCCACAACGCCAAUACGCUCCAUUACUCGAAAAGGACCAUAAUAUCGCUUCGCUAGCUUGUUGGAUAAUUUGUUUGCAACUGAUAUUUGCCGAUAAGGCUGCAACUUAACCAAAACUUGAUCCCCGACCCGAAGCUCUAGCUCACGGCGAUGAGCAUUAGCCUUUUGCUGCAUUCUAUGUUGAGCUGCUCGCAAGUUGGUUUUCAAGGCUGUUAGGAAGGCAUCACAUUCCAGCAGCAAUUCAUCAAGUGCUUGGAUUGAAGUAGAGCUCCCGGUAUAGGAAGGAAUUACAGGUGGCUCAUGACCAUACAAGGCCUUAAAAGGAGACAUUUGGAUGCUUGUAUGAAAGCUAGUGUUGUAAGAAAACUCAGCCUAGCCUAAAUAAUCGAACCACGAUGUCGGUUUCGCUUGUGUGAAUACUCGCAAAUGCUGCUCGAGUCCUCGAUUAAUAACCUCUGAUUGGCCAUCCGUUUGAGGAUGAUAUGAUGUACUAUGCUUCAAUGUGGUACCACUUAACUCAAAGAGUUUCUUCCAAAAGCUACAAAGAAAGAUAGAGUCACGAUCUAAAAUUAUUGUACGAGGAAAACCAUGGUGCUUAACAACCAUAUCAGUGAAUAAAACAACUGUUUUGCUUGUUGUAAAGUGUGUGGGUAGAGCACCAAAAUGAGCUGAUUUUGUCAAUCGGUCAACAACGACUAAGAUAACAGUGAACCCAUGGGAAGAGGGUAAACCUGUAAUGAAGUCUAUGGUAACUUCCUACCAAACUAGUGAAGGUAUAGGCAAGGGUUGAAGGAGUCCAGUUGGUGCCUGAGUAGAGUAUUUUGUUUGCUGACACAAUAAACAAGAGGCGACAAAUAACUCCACAUCCUUGUGCAUAUUUGGCCAAUAAAAGAGAGUGGAUAGACGAACUAAUGUCCGCUUGACUCCGGCAUGACCUGCAACUGGUGUGGCAUGAAAUUCUUGUAAUAAAGAAGGCUUCAAAACAGAGUGAGAGCUGAUGAAGAACCUGUUUUUGAACCGUAGGAUUCCAUCCGAGACCGAAUAUGGAUACAUUACAGAACCAGAGGAAUACUUCUGAUGGAGAGCUAAGAGAUCCGGUAAAGACUGAUUUUCCGCACGAAGAAUAGAGAGGAAUUUAGGAAUAGGACAGCUAGCGAGUAACAGAGUAGCAGUAGAAUGGCCAUAUAAUUUAGGGACAUCAACUUCAUGUACCCUGGAUAAGGCAUCAGCUGCACUAUUAGUUCGACCCGGCUUAUAUUCAACCCUGAAAUGAUACCCCAGUAAUUUACGAACAUAAAAUUGUUGCUCUGGAGUUUGGAUAACCUGCUGAAGGAGCUCUCGAAUACUUUUCUGGUCAGUUCGGAUAAUAAAGAAAUGGCCUAACAAGUAUUGUCUCCACUUAUGUACUGCUUCGGCAAUGGCAUGAAGUUCUUUGAUAUAAGUAGAAGCGACAAGCAUGCGAGGACCCAAUUUUCGGCUAAAAUAAGCAAUCGGAUGAUCAGCUUGCAUCAGUACGGCUCCAUACCAACAUUCGAGGCAUCCGUUUCAAUAAAAAAAUCCAAUUGAAAAUCUGGCAAGCGAAGGACUGGUGCUGCAUUCAUGGCUUGUUUUAAGGCAGCGAAGGCCGUGUCAGCUGCGGAGGACCAAUGGAAACAAUCCUUCCGUAAUAAAUUUGUGAGAGGGGUAGCAAUGGAAGCAUAUGCUUUAAUAAAGCGAUGAUAGUAGCCUGUGAGACCCAAGAAUCCUCGCAAUUGUUUUGUGGUAGACGGCGUAGGCCAAUUAGACAUGACCACCAACUUGCGAGGAUAAGCCUCAACUCCAGAAGAGGAAACAAUAUGGUCGAGAUAUUCAAUGUUAUCUUGGCAAAAAAAAAUCACUUUGAGAGCUUAAAAAAAAAAUGAUUAGUAUGAAGACAAUCAAAUACUCUAUGUAAAUGCUCAAAAUGGUCUUCUAAAGAAGUGCUGUACACUAAGAUAUCGUCAAAGAAAACGAUCACAAACUUACGGAGAUAAGGAGCAAAGAGCCUAUUCAUUGUCGCUUGAAAUGUGGAAGGGGCAUUAGAGAGUCCAAAAGGCAUAACAAGGAACUCAAAAUGCCCAUCAUGAGUCCGAAAGGCUGUUUUAUAAAUAUCUCUGUCACAUACUCGUAUUUGAUGGUACCCCGCUCGCAAAUCCAGCUUACUGAAAAUACAAGCACCACCAAGCUCGUCUAAUAACUCAUCAAUAGUUGGUAUCGGAAAUUUGUCUUUAAUUGUUACCGCGUUCAAGGCUCGGUAAUCUACACAAAAACGAUAGGAGCCAUCUUUCUUUUUAACCAGCAACACAGGUGAAGAGAAUGGGCUCUGACUUGGGCGAAUAAUGCCUUGAUCAAGCAUUUCUUUAAUUAGUCUCUCCAUUUCGGCCUUUUAGAAGUGAGGAUAACGGUAUGGGCGAACAUUGACAGGUUUAGUAUUUGGGAGAAGAUGAAUGUGAUGGUCAAUAAGUCUAUGAGGAGGUAGGGAAGAUGGAGUGUGAAAUAAUUGCUCAUAUUGAUGAAGAAGGGCAAGUACAGGGGAAGGCAAAUCGGGUGGGAAGUCAAACUUAGCAGCAGUGGUUGGAACAGAGAGGGUAUCCUGCGCGUCUGUAGUAGUAUGCAACUAGAAAAAUUCAAAAAAAUUUGUCUUUAAUUGUUACUGCGUUCAAGGCUCGGUAAUCAACACAAAAAUUAGUAUGCAACUAGAAAAAUUCAAAAAGGCCGUGGAUUUGAUCAUGGGACAUGAGGGCUUGUAAUUGAUGAAAAGAAAUCAGUCUUAGAGACAAUGAGAGAUCACCUCGCAGGAAGACAGGAGAGCCAUUAUAGAAAAAUUCCGUUGACAAUGCCGCAUAGUCAUGAGAAACUUUGCCAAGCAGCUGUAACCAUUGAAUUCCGAGGACAAUAUCCGGUCCCUCAAUAGGAAGAACAUAAAGGUCGAUGUAGAAAACAUGGCCUUGCAUAGAUAAGGUGACUUGGGAACAAACAUAUCGACAAACUAAAGAAUCACCAUUACCGAUAUAUACUGGGAAUGUGGUAGUGUCUUAUACUGCUAACCCCAAAACUUCAGCCACAGCGGGUUUAAUAAAAUUAUGGGUGCUACCACUAUCGAUAAGUGCUUGCACGGGCUGUUGAUUAAUUUCACCAAGGAGUCGUAGAGAGCGAGGAGUAUUUUGGUCCGCUAAGGCAUUUAAACUAGAGAUAUCACCAACUAUAAUAGUUUCCUCAACAACAUCUGAGAUCUCAGAAUUAAUUGGUGGACCCAUCGCCUCGUCAACAUCCUCUGUUCCUAAAAGAAGCAGAAACUUACUACGGCAUCUAUGAGAGUUGCUCCACUUCUGGUUGCAAUUGUAGCAGAGUCCUUUCUCCCUUUUUUCACGAAGUUCUUGAGGAGAAAGACGCUUAAUAGGGAGAGAUGGCGUUGAUAAAAGUGGAGGUAAAGUGGACGGGGCAGGUUGAGGUGGGUUUAUGGCAGGGGCACUUGCAGGAUUAUGAUUGGUUGUAGUAGGGUGAAAGGAUGGUGUGGUGGUUUUGUGGGUUCACUUAGACCAAGGUCUGGACGUAACUUUACUCUCAUCUCCAUGUGCUUCAAACAUACGAGCCAGUGCAAAUGCCUCCAUCAACGAGGAAGGCCGUGACAGCAAUAGCUCGUGAUGAAUAUCCACUCGCAACCCUGUGAUAAAAAAUGAGAUAAGGAGAGGCUCGGAAAUACCAGUGACUUUAUUCAUGAGGUCCCCAAACUCGGUUUGAAAUUCUGCCACACUUGAUUUCUGUGUAAGUUUGGAUAGAUUGCCUUGGUGGUCCUCAUACAGGGAAGCUCCGAAACGAAACUUCAGAUUUUGAAGAAAAUCCUUCCAACUGGUAAGAAGAUCAUUCGCCUUCAUCCAUUGGUACCAAGUCGAAGCGCGACCUUCCAAAUGAAAAGACACGAUGUGGAGACAAAGAGCUUCGGAUGUGCCAUGGAAAUCAAAAUACUCAUUGAUGCGAAAAGCCCAACCGUUUGGGUCAGUUCCAUCAAAUUUUGGGACCUCGAGUUUCAUUGUUCGCAAGAGAGGAUUGGAGUCAUGGGUGCCCGAUGAACCAUCAGAUAUCUGUGGAAACGAGGGUGGAUUCGAUGGUCCAUUUGUUGGAACCGAAGGUAACCCCUUGAUCUGAGAACGCAAGUCCUCCAAGCGAGAAUCCACGGUAAGAGCAUCUCCAAAAGGCUAUAUAAGUUUUACUCUUCAAAUACUUAUUUGCUUACUUAUGUGGCAAAUAGAAAGGUGAAAAAAUAUGAUAUUCUCCAAAAGACAAUUCAAAUAGAAAUAAGUUAAUAUUAUUUUAAUCAUAUAAUUAGUUUUUUAAAGGAAAAGUCAAUAACAAUUAAAGCUCUUCUCUCUCUUUCUUCAAUGAAAAGUAAUAAAAUAUAAAUUGAAGAGGGGGAAAUUAACUCUCCAAAUUUGAAGAGAGGGAAUUAAUUCUUGUUUGAAGAAUUUUAAUUGAAGUGCCUUUUGAAGUUUUAAAUAUUGAUGUGGCUCUUCAAAUAAGUAAUAAAAUCUUAUUUAAAGAGACUUUUGGUGAUGCUCUAAGCAUGUAUUGUUGCAGUGUGUGAUGAACUGCGACCGUUUGGCUAUCAAGUUUUGUUUGUAAAGCUUUAAUGGCAAUUAGAAUCUCCGAAUCAGCCAUGAUGAGCAAAUAUCAAUGAAAGCACCAAUGUUAUGCCGCUGGUGAACACACCGAACAGCAAGGUUUCCACACUUUUCAAGCAAGUGCAAGCUCCCAGAAUUUUAAAGAAACGAGUGAACGGCAAGAGAGAAUAGAGAGGAAAAUUCAGAGAAGAAGAAGAAACUAAGUCCAGAAUUUUUAUAUAUAUCCCAUCAAAUACAACCAUGGAAAUACUUAUAGCAGCAAGAAUAUGCUCACAGCUGUCAAAACUAAAUAACAACCUCUCUCUAUAACAAAAAAUUAUUCUCUAAAUAGCUAAGGCCGUUAAAAACCGAGUCCUCUGCUCAUAUAUGCUCAAUGUGUGUAAUCCUUGAACCAUUUGGGAGGCUUCCUUACGCUACUUGGCUUGAUGUUAGCUUGGGGUCGGUUUUGGAUAGCCUCACUUGAGUUUGCCUGGGCCUUUUCCUCGCUAUUGAUAGAGCUAGCUGAGUUGGGCUUGUCUAACUGUAAUAUUGAGGUUGUAACAGAAUGGCGCCCAUGUGAUAAAUAAGGAGUUUUAAGAAGCAUGCCAUUUGCACUAAUUAAUACUGUCAGACAUGUGAUUCCAUGAACAUGAUGAUGAUCAUCAGUUACAUUUAGUUAGUGAUGGUGGUUUUCACGUGUUUUAACAAACAUGGUAGUAGCAAUUUAUGAAUAUUCAUUACAAAGUGGCUUGUGUUUGGAAAGCAAACAAUAUGACUAUUUUGAGUGGCUUGCGUGUCUACAUAAGUUUUUGCUCUGGCUGCUAAGUUAUUGAAGUUUGACCACACAAUUCUUAUCCAUUUUGUCAUUUUUGUUUGGAGGAUUUGAUGAUUUUCAGUGGGACAGUAGGGUAUAGAGAGUAGUUAUCGUACAUCCGCCUUGGCCGUACAGCAGUGUGUUAGUAAAGUGAUUGCAUUUGCACUUUCCUAGUUGCACCAACAUUUUGCGAUUUGGGAAUUUAAAUGAUGAAUUCUUAAUAAUUCACUUGGUGUUAAGCUUUUCAAUUGUUUUACGGCUAGAAAAUAUUGAGAUUGAGAAGAAAAACAUCUCCUGAUAUGGAUGUUGUAAAUUUUUUUUUUUUUUAACUUUCGUUCUUUUUUUAACUAUUUUAUAAUUUGCUAAAGAGUUGUUUGAGAAUCUCUACAGGGAUAAUGGUAUUUUCAGUUUUACAGAACUUGAUAGUAAAUGAUCAUGUACAACUUCUUUUAUUUAUUUUUUAUAUUUGACAUUCACUAUUUGACCUAAUCGAUAUCUUGGUCCUUGUAUAUUAUCUUUAGGCUUUCCAAUUAUCUUCUAACACUGCUUGAAAUGGAAGAGUUCUCCUUGGAUUAUAUUGAUUCAUUGAAUAGGAAAGAUCUAAACGAGAACUUUUUAAACAAAAACUAUUAAUUAAUGGCUUUCUUUACCAGGCUGUGAUCCUUCAUUUUCGUGGCUUAAUAUGUAAAAUGUAACUAACAUAGGUACAAGGAGGGCUACAGGAACUGGAUGGUUGACCAUGCUAUUCACCCAGUCAUUGAUUGAAGGUGCAGUAGAUACUUAAUCUUAAUUAAUGUUGAAUUUACUUGUCAAUGUUCUUUUGCAAGACUUAAUUUUGUUUUUACCAGGAUAUUGAAGGCUAAAAUAGGAGUAUAUGGGGUGUUGCUAGCUAUUGCUUUUUAAGGUCUGUAUUAUCAUGAGUUGUCUUUUCUAAUUAGUUCUUGAUUUGACACUAAAUAAGUCUUGCACUAGUUAAUUAAUAAAAUGAGAUAUAAUAAUAAUAUAGUCUGUAUUUUUUUCUCUAUCCCAAUAAUAAUGUGGUCUUUAUAUGAUAGUUCUGUAGACGUGGGCAAUGAAGAAAGGUUAGAAAAGUUGCCUAAUGGUGGUUGAAAGGGGGGAAAAAUCUGGCUGCUAGGUCGAUUUGCAUAUUGUCAUCCAUUGGAGAACUUAAGUUGAGUAGGCGAUAUUUAUUGACAACUCAUUGAUGUUUUUUUUUUUGGGGCCCCCCCGGGGGGAGGGGGGGAUAAGAUGUUGACAACCCAUAGAUUGCUAUUUUAGCUUUAAAAAAGAUCAAAUAGAUGAUGCUGGACAGUUCCAAGUCAAAAAAGGAAAAAGGGAAAAGAAAUUUCAAUGGAGGUUCAAAGCAAUAGAUAUUUUCUUGGCAGGAGAUCUAGUAAGUCACCUAUCUGGAAAAAUGCCCCAAGUCUCCUUCUUCCUUCAAGAUUGUAAGGUUCGGUUGCAGCUCCUGGUUUCUGACUCGAGUUUUCCUAAUUGGGUUGGAAGGUAUCUGGAUUAAUCCUCCUAACAUAUCUCCUGAUGCAACAUAGUUGUAAAACAGUUGUAUUCUCUUCCAUUUAGAAUGGCUGUAUCAUACUCUUAUUGGUGCCUAGUAUUGUUGAGUUCAUAAGAGUGAUUUUUACUAUUGUAUAUUGUUAGCAGUUGCUAGCAGUUGAGGCAAACUAAUUCUUGUUACAAGCAUGUUUAUGGGAGGACCCUGGAUGUGAUGCUAUCUUUACACAUAUAUAAAUUACAACUGCCAUUUAUCAAUUUUUAAUUUUUCUAUUGUAAAAUUGUUAUUAACAUUAUUUAUUUGGCUUCCAAAUGCAGGAUUCUUCCAAGGUGCCUCAAAAGCCGAAAUUUGCCACAUCUAAAAGGUAAUGGUAGCUCAAUUUAUAUUUCACAAGUUGUAUAUUAUUUUUAGCCCCCAAGAAAGUAUUAUGCUCUUUAUCAUAUAUUUUAUUUGCACAAAGUUUUUAUUUGUAGCCUCUCAUCUGUUUAAGUAAGAAGUCUGCCAUCUUACAUUGCUAUUACCAGUUUUGAUAUGUAGUAGCAAACAAUUUUUCUUUCUUUUUAGUUGUAUAAUGGUCUUAAUUUUAUAGCUAAUUUAUGUAUGACUACAAAAAAAGUCUUCGAGCAUGUGAUGUAGUUCAAAAGGCACUGAUAUAGUGUUUGUGGACAGCAUCACAUUCUUAGUUAUGGUAGUGCUUGAACCAUAAAUAUGCCCAAGUUACUCUUUCCUUGCACUUGAAAGAGUGUUUUGUUUGGGGAUUUGUGUUUGGUUGCUGGUAGUCCUGUUUGAAUAUCCAAGUAAAUAGACAAUAGAUACCAUGCAAGCUCGCCUUACUCGUAGGCAUGGUGCAUGCUGAACAAGAGGCAAUUUCUAUGGAUCCUAAAGAGGUAAUAAAUUCAGAAGUACACACACUAAUUAACAAACACCACCUCCAAAUUACAAAAUGUUUUAAUCCUUCACCUUCUCACUUCCUAUAGAAUAGCUAACCCUUCACCUUCUCACUUCCUAUAGAAUAGCAUCAUACCAGGCCCUUGCCCUUCUCUUUCCUCUGCACUUAACGGGAGAAUAGCUUUCUCUACUCUAGCGAAAACUCGAAGAACAGCACAAUGAUGAGCAAUUUCGAAUAAGAGGAGUUAGAGAAGAGAGAGAAAAAAUUCUUUGCAUUGCACUCGAGGAUUCAGCUUUGAUUUAUUUUUAUUCUCGUGUUUAGCUAAGGUGAAAUCACCUUCCAUAAGGGUCCACUCAUCAUUUUCCCUACCCUCUUAUAUCAUCUAAUUAUUACUUAAAUUGGUCAUCAAGUUCCUUUUAUGUUAAACUGCAGUGAGUUUGAGGAACUGGAAGCUGUUCCAACUAUGACAGUUAUGGAUGGUCCUCUAGAGUUGGGUGAAAUGAGAUAUGAUAAUAAUAUAGUCUGUAUUUUUUUCUAUAUCCUAAUAAUAAUGUAGUCUUUAUAUGAUAGUUAAAUAAUAAUGUAGUCUUUAUAUGAUAGUUGUGUAGACGUGGGCAAUGAAGAAAGGUUAGAAAAGUUGCCUAAUGGUGGUUGAAAGGGGGGAAAAAUGUGGCUACUAGGUCGAUUUGCACAUUUGUCAUCCAUUGGAAAACAUAAGU
rnacentral:lncRNA from 1 species